rnacentral:rRNA from 1 species
AGCGAACGCUGGCGGCAGGCCUAACACAUGCAAGUCGAACGGGCUCUUCGGAGCUAGUGGCGGACGGGUGAGUAACACGUGGGAACGUGCCUUUAGGUUCGGAAUAAGCCCGGGAAACUGGGUCUAAUACCGAAUGUGCCCUUCGGGGGAAAGAUUUAUCGCCUUUAGAGCGGCCCGCGUCUGAUUAGCUAGUUGGUGAGGUAAUGGCUCACCAAGGCGAAGAUCAGUAGCUGGUCUGAGAGGAUGACCAGCCACAUUGGGACUGAGACACGGCCCAAGCUCCUACGGGAGGCAGCAGUGGGGAAUCUUGCGCAAUGGGCGAAAGCCUGACGCAGCCAUGCCGCGUGGAUGAUGAAGGUCUUAGGAUUGUAAAAUCCUUUCACCGGUGAAGAUAAUGACUGUAGCCGGAGAAGGAGCCCCGGCUAACUUCGUGCCAGCAGCCGCCGUAA